UUUGGAAUGAGUCCAGUCAGGAAGCGGAGAUUUUAAAGAUCUUUACACUCUUAACCAUAUGUUGGAGUGGGCGUGGUCAGGAUGGAACCAGCUGUGUUACCUCGCUGGGAGAUGGUCCUGUACUGGUUCCUGUCCUUCACCUCUCACCUCUACUCCUUCUACCAGCUUCAUCUGUUCUCUAAAGAGCAUGAGGAGACCCUGGACAGAGAGGGGCAGCUGGAGAAGAGCUUCUUGAUCCGAGGCAGCAGAAAGGAUGGUGCUGAUUUUGAGUGGAGUUUUUGGAAUGAGUGGGCGUGGCAUUCUCUUCUCUGGUCUCUGAUUGGUCAUGCUGUGGUGUCACAUCUCUCCUGUGUGUGUGUGCCGCAGUUGAGGAAAGCUGUCCUAACAGUCUACGGUGUUCUGUGUGCCUGGUGGCUGCUCGGCUCGAAAGGUGUGGCCAUUCUAAUGCUUCACCUGAGUGUUUCAUUGGCUGUUGCUCAGCUGCGGAGCCCCGCCCUUUCCUGGGGCUGCACUCUGUUACUGCUUUCUACGCUACACAUCGGCAGUGUGCAGGACACACAGCGAGGCUGGUACGAUUCAGACGAGCGCUAUUAUCUCCUGACGUUCAGCAUCGCAAUGUGUGUGUUACGCUGCGUCAGCUUCAGCCUGGAGCUGUGCUGGAGCCCUCUGCAGGACAAAAAGGCCAACAGAUAUUUCUCUUUUCUGAACUUCAAAACAUUUCUAACACAACUCUACAACCUGGUCUCAUACUGUUUCUACCAUCCACUGUUCUACAACGGCCCCAUCAUUAACUACAACCAUUUCAGCCAACAGAUGGAGACUGCGGUGUGUAAGACGUCACCAGUAGUGUUGUUGGGCAAAACCUUGCGUGUAUGUGUGUGGUGGUGUUUAGCUGAGCUCAUGAUCCACUUCAUGUCUAUGCACAGCAUCCAGAACAAUGAGACCUACCUCACCAUGCUUCCUUCCUGGGCUCUGGGAGGCCUGGCUCUGGCUCUCGUACAGUUUUUCUACGUGAAGUACUUAGUGUUGUUUGGCAUUGUGUCCCUGCUGAUGGAGUUGGAUGGUAUUGAGCCUCCGCCACUGCCCCGCUGUGUGAGCACCAUGUACAGCUUCCGAGGAAUGUGGAGGUACUUUGAUGUGGGACUAUACAGAUGGCUUAUCAGGUAUGUGUACGUUCCUUUGGGUGGGUCUCAGCAUGGGCUUUUCCAGAAGCUUAUCUCCAUGGCGAUGACGUUCGGCUUUGUGUGUUUGUGGCACGGUUGCCAUGACUACCUGCAGUGCUGGGCCCUGCUCAACUGGGUGUGUGUGUUCAUAGAGAACAUCAUCACACUCUUCCUCUGCUGGCGACCUAUUCAUCAUGCCAUUGUAUGUUUUUUGUCUCCACCCAUGAGAAGGCGUGGCCUGGCGCUUAUCUCUGCCUUUUCCACAGCUAUGCUAAUUUUGUCCAAUUUGGUGUUUCUCGGAGGAAUUCAUAUCGGCCGUGUGUACUGGGAGAGAGUGUUCAUGCAAGGCUGGUCCUCCAUGGCAGUUCCUGUCCUCGGGUGUCUGUACUUUUUUGCGCAGGUUGGACUGGAGAUGGACAGUAGAAAGACAUGAAGACUUUGUGUGAAUUUGAUCUUCCUUUAGUAAGACAGACAGGUGGCGUGUGAAGACUAGGGGGGAUUUCUUGUCCCUGAUCUGGAGUUCGGUCUCAGACAAGGUGCCUCAGGUGUGUUGCUGUUGACUCUGAGAUGUCCAGAGUGAGUGCUGACACCACCUGUCUCCAAUCCAGCUCAGGAUCAGCACCUCAUCAUUUUCACAUGAGGAUUUAUAUAAUUCUUUAGUAUUGAUUUUAUCUGUAUUAAUGAUUUUAUCACAGUUCAGCACAGAGGACUGAAUCCUUGCUGCUAUCUGCUUAAUGUGACCUGUUCAAGUGCUUCCACCUGACCACAUACUGUUUAAAUACACAGAUCAGCCACAGAUUUAGACCCACUGCAGGUGAAGUAACACUGAUUAUCUGGUUACAGCUGCACCUGUCAGGGAUGGGACACAUUAAACAGCAAUGAACAGUCCGCUCUCAAAGUUGGUGUGUUGAAAGCAGGAAAAAUGGGAAUGCAGGAGUUGAGUUGAGGGACUUUGACAAGUGCCGGAUUGUAAGGUUUAGACAACUGUGUCAAAGAGUCUUCAAAACUGCAGCUCUUGUGGGAUAUCCCCGGUCUGCAGUGAUCAGGACGUACAAAAAGUGGAGCAGAGUGGUCAGGCUGACACAUGGCCAUCGCCAAAAGCUUCAAAAAUGGCAACGUGCGCAUCAGAACUGGACCAAAAAGCAGCGAAGAAAGGUGGCCUGUUCUGAUGGGUCGCAUCAUGUGGAUGGCCAGUGUCAUUUACCAAGAAAAGAGAUGACACCAGGAUAUGAACUAUGGAACAGUUUGAGGAACAUGAUCAAGAGUUCGAGGUGUUGACUCUGCCUCCAAAAUCUCCAGGUCGGCGUCUGUGGGAUGUGCUGGAAAAACACGUCUCAUCCAUAGAGGUUCCACCUCACAACUUACAGGAUUUAAAGGAUCUGCCACUGAUUACUUGGUGCCAGAUACCACACACAGCUUCAGAGGUCUAGUGGACUCCAGGUCUCGAUGGAGCUGGGCUGUUUUAGGGGACUACUGUAUAGAAUAUUAGCUCGAUGGAUUUAGUGUUGUGGGUGAUCAGUGUAUGCAGACUCUUACUCUCUGUCUCUCUCUGUGUGAACAGUCAAUGGAGGACGUAGUUGUUACUUGUUCAGUCUCUAAGACAGCAUUAAUGAUGUAUGUUCUGACGAUGUAUGAUCACAGAUAUCUAAAAAAAAUUGGUCACAGAGAAAACACUCACACGGAACAUCAGCUUCUUCCUAACAACGCAGCUCAGAUUCACUCCACUUUAGUGUUAGAUUCAGGCAGGGGGUGUGGCCUGAUGUUUUGAGGCAGAGAAUGUACACUAGUAGUCAUUUGGAUGAUAAUAUAUUUUGCAUAUGAUUUGCAUAUUUAAAUGUUUAAACCAUGCAUCAUUAUGCUUUUUAUUUGCUACGUGAAACAAUCAGAGCUCGCUGUCACUCAGCAGAAUCAGGUGGUGCUCCAUGCUGCAUAACUAAUCUUGUAGCUGUAUGUGUGUCUGUGUGUGUGUUUCCUGAUCACACACUCUUGUCUUUCUCUUAGAUGUGCUGCCAGGUUUUUUCAACUUUACAUGUCGAGCUCCCAACCUCUCCGCUCUCUCUCUCUCUCUCUCUCACACACACACACACACACACACACACACUUUUCGCCUUAAUUUUUCUCUUUCUCUGGAUAUUGUACUCUCUCAUUUUUACUCGUCUUUAACCCCCCCACUGGGAUAGUGUGUUACUGGUUAGUGUUUUAGGUGGGAGUGUGUUAAUAGUUAGUGUGUUAGGAGUUAAUGGGUUACUGGUAAGUAUGUUAGGGGUUAGCGUGUUACUGGUUAGUGGGUUAGGGGUUAGUGUGUUCGGGGAUACUGGAUACUGGCCCUCCAGGACUGAAGCUGAACAUCCAUGUGUUAGUGAGCUUCCAAGUUGUUAGUGGCUUUUUGUGUAUGAUCCGAUCCAGCUCGAUCCAAAUUAGAGAGGGUGUAAUUCUUUCUGUGCAGGUUUGUCCCACAAGGGGGUAGUAUUAGGUGAGUUAAAAAGUUUCUGUAAGGGAAAUGUGACUUCUAUUCCUGAUCAGUAAACUUUGUGAAAAAAUGCUCUCCCUCCUGUCUUUACUUUAUAAUCCACUGGGUCUCUGGCUGUGGAAGGAGCUCUGAUUGGCUCACAUUUCAAAUGUAGUAAAGCGUAAUACCCAAUCACAGGUAAUACCGAAUCCUUGUAACAAAAAAAGAUGAGAUGUCUGACCUAUCUUCAAGGUUGGAGAAAAAUACCUAAGUUUUUAGCAGAUUGAACACUUCACAGUGGGCAGAACUACUUUGCGCAGGACAAAAAAGCUAACACCCAUGCUGCUAAUGUAAUUAACAUGAAAAUAUUGUUAACACUAGGCCUGACCCUGCUGAAGGUGUUAGCGCUACCAGCGACACAGGAACACACGGAGGCCGAGAAACACUACACAGGUAAAGGGCAACAUAGAAAGGAAAUGUUAAAAAUAAACAUUGUUGUUAUGAUGACUGACCUGAGGAACAGCAGCAUGAGCUCACACCCAUGGACAACGGAGAGAUCAGAUCGAAGGAGCCAAAAUUUUGGGGCAGUUCAGAAGCCCCGUGCCACCGGUUUAAGGACCCGCAUAUCACAGCACAGAUAAACGAUUCUCAUAGUAGACAAAAGGUAAAAGAAAAAUAUCACUCCCAGUCUGUCUUUAAGAUAACACAACAUUUUAUAAAUGAACACAACAUGAUAGAAAAAACGGGAAAAUGCAAACGCCAUCUCGUCAUACACAACAUUCAGAUCCACAGGGGUUUGGGGUUUUUGGAGGGUGUGGGCUGUGGGUAUGAUGAGGUUUAAAAUCAUAUAAAAAUGCAAAACUUAUGCAUUAAAGUUAUUUUAACAUCUUGA